AGCUUUCUGAAUCCAUGCAAAGCUUUCGUCAGACACCAACCCAUUAAAGCUGAUCAGUCUUCCAAGAUAAGUGAAGUG
rfam:Schistosoma mattheei strain Denwood, Zambia genome assembly, scaffold: SMTD_contig0017478